rnacentral:rRNA from 1 species
GAUGAACGCUGGCGGCGUGCCUAAUACAUGCAUGUCGAGCGAACGGACGAGAAGCUUGCUUCUCUGAUGUUAGCGGCGGACGGGUGAGUAACACGUGGAUAACCUACCUAUAAGACUUGGAUAACUUCGGGAAACCGGAGCUAAUACCGGAUAAUAUUUUGAACCGCAUGGUUCAAAAGUGAAAGACGGUCUUGCUGUCACUUAUAGAUGGAUCCGCGCUGCAUUAGCUAGUUGGUAAGGUAACGGCUUACCAAGGCAACGAUGCAUAGCCGACCUGAGAGGGUGAUCUGCCACACUGGAACUGAGGAGCGGUCCAGACUCAUCAGGGAGGCAGCAGUAGGGAAUCUUCCGCAAUGGGCGAAAGCCUGACGGAGAAACGCAGCGUGAGUGAUGCAGGUCUUCGGAUCGUAAAACUCUGUUAUUAGGGAAGAACAUAUGUGUAAGUAACUGUGCACAUCUUGACGGUACCUAAUCAGAAAGCCACGGCUAGCUACGUG